AAAAUAAAUUAAUAUUUAUUUUCAAAAAACAUUCUGGUUUCGAGUAUAUGACAUAUUUCUAAAAAACAAGAUUAGAAGAAGUGAUGAACAAUGCAAACAAUGAACAAAUAAUUAUUUCCAAAAUGAAUUGAGAAAGAAUUAAAGUUCUCAGUUUAGGAGACCACUGGAAAUUAGCUAACUUUUCCGACGGUUUCUCCAGGAUAAACUAAUUUCGAGCACCAGAAACGAAUCGCUGUUCAUCAUAAUGCGAACUCUGCGACAUUCACCAGUCGAAACACGAAUCCGGACGGUCUGUCCAGCUGUUUAACGGAUAACAAUAGUUAUUAAUUCCAUGAUAAAUGAAACGGUACCAUCUUCGUUCUUUUAAUUAUUCAAUUUGAAUCUUUUCAAAGUAUGAGAAAAAAGAUCGUACGAGGAAAGCUUUUAAAACCAGAGACUUUAAGGGAAAAGAAAAGAUGUACAGGAGAUCCAGAUAGGAAGGCUAAGGAAACGAGAAUUCACUGAUAAGGAGACACAGAGGACUAAGGAGAGAUUCAGAGGAAGAAACACUGUGAAAAAGUAGAUAGACAAAAGAAGAAAGAAAUGCAUAAAAGAGAAAAACUGAAAGAAGGAAGACUUUCAGAAUCUAUAAGCGGAAACUUAGUGAAGGAAUGAUGCGUGAAAAGAAAAAAAUUUCUCUAAAAAUCUAUAAAUAAAGAUAAA